GGCAGUCUUUUACAAACACAAAGCGUCUUCGAACCAACACUCGUAAUAUUAUUAGCAUACAUUUGGAAAUUGUGUCGCAACGUGUAAAAAGCUUUUCCAGCAGCCGAGAAAACACAAAUUUACGUUAAAAUCCUAAACAUUUUUAACAUCUAUUUCGUCUGAAUUAUGAGUGCUGUUCCUACAAAAAGUAGCAGAAUAUGUGAAGUGAGUUUAAAAAUUAUUUUACGUAAAAAAUGCAAUAAAAUCACAGAAGUAUGACAUGAAUUUGAUGCCCCUAAUUGAAAUCCUGUGGAACCAAUUCAUCUAAGUAGUUUACAAAGUUGAGCUGAGUGUAAUCUGGUCUCAGCAUAAACACAUCUAUUGUUGAUAGGAUAGGUUACUAUUAGUGAUGUGCUGCACAACUCUGCCCCUUUGUCACAAACUAAAUACAAGAUGAGUGAAAAGAUGCUUUGGUGAGACCAAAAUUGUCCACCUUUUUGGCCAACAGGCUGAGCGCAAAAUAAACUGAGCUAAAUGGACAUGGAGCCACAGCUUCACUUGAGUAUUUUAGAUCCAAACAAGCAUGUUAGAAUGGCCUACUUAAAGUCCAGUCAAAUCCGACUGCAAAUUUGCGAGAAGACAAAUGCUGUCCAUCCUUUCUGAUUGAGCUUGAGCUUUCUGGAAAAGACAAAUGGGCAAAAGUGUCUCUCUAAAAGUCCAGAGUUGGUGCAUCAAACACCUGCAAGGGAUGCAUAAAACUGUGCACUACAAUUUCAGAAACUUUUUCUUUUUGCUUUUUAUAAUUUAGCUUAAUUAUGUUGGUGAAAUCAAAGGAAAGCACAUUGAAGUUGAGUUUGUAGCAGGACAAAAUGUGCAAAAAGCAGAAUAAGCACUUGUAAGCUCUGUGUCCCACAAAGUGUGGAUUUAUGAAAAAUACACUUUGGUACUUUUUUUUUUAUAUCAGAAAUUGACUCUUAUCACACCAAACUACAAAAAAGUGGAACAUAUGGAGCAACUACAGGCAACAUUUUACAGCUGAUAGUCUUUCGUGGAUGUUUUGGUUGUCUUGGUCCCCUGUGGCGAGUUGAACAGUUCCAGCUGCUUCCAGGGAACAUCGGGAAAGAGGAGAGUAAAGGGACAGGGAAAGGAGUGCGUGCAUACCUCAGAUUCUUUAUUCCUGCAUUCAGCUUGUCAGCUUGACUGACUUCAGCUGUCUGUUUUGAAUUAGGGAGGGAGAAAACAAUGUGAGCUCAGACAAAGAAAUUGCCCACAACACUGCAGUCAUUAAAAUGUCUUUAAGUCAUCUCUGUGACAUCUGUGUUCAGGAGGGAAAAAUGUACAAGUCAAGGCUUUUUAGGAGAGUCGAGAGAAAUGUUGCUUGCGC